rnacentral:tRNA from 1 species
GGAGGGCUAGCCUAACCUGGUAAGGCAGCAGACUUGAAAUCUGCCGACCCUUCAACGGGUCUUGCGGGUUCGAAUCCUGCGCCCUCCG